GGCCCAGGUGGAGGUAGAACGGAAGCGCCGGGAGGAACUAGAGGCGAGGAUCGAGGCGGAUCGGCAGCUAGAAAGGUAGAGGACGGAGCAGAUGUUCCAAUACAUGCAGAGUGUCUUUCACAGUUUAGGUCAGACUCCACCACCUAUGCCACCGAACCUGUUCCCGUCACCUCGACCACCUCCUGCAGCUACUCCUGUGAGUCACUCUCAACCUUACAAUCAAUCUAGAGUUAAACUAGAAAGUACAGGCAUUACAGACUUACACUAGAAAAGUGACUAAUGCAAUCUCUAUAACUUUGUGCAGAAUCAAUCGGCGACGUCCAAUGCAGAAUCUUCUUGGGGGCAGCGGCCACCUGCACAUACUCCUUAGCCUCCUCAUCCAC
rnacentral:lncRNA from 1 species